CGAAAUGUAGCUUAUAUAAAGCAUCUCGCUUACACCGAAAAGAUAUCUGUGGAACUCAGAUCGUUUUGA
rnacentral:tRNA from 1 species